rnacentral:piRNA from 1 species
UGGUACACAGCCCGUUAAAGAUGUCUGC